rnacentral:lncRNA from 1 species
AAUUAUUAAAUAGGACAUAUGCUUUCUUCUACAUAUAAACAUGGUCUCUAAAGUACAAAAAUAAAGUGACACUAAUAGAAGUCAAUAAAAGUAGACCCCAAAUCAUGAAUUUCUUUCAAAGAAUCAACAAAAUCGAAAAGGGUAAAACAAACACUGACUGAACUAGGGCGUGAGCCUAGAAUCUACUCUUGUUAUCAAAAAAUAUGAACCUCGACCGAAAUGAGUUCCAAAACCUCUGUCACGGUCAAAGUUUACUGCGGCAGAGGAAAAAAUUUAUAAUGUUAGAGAGAGAAUAACAGUGGUGAAGGGAAGCGAAGUACCGUUUUUAGGGUGUGGAGCAGCGGCUUCGUUGAGUGAUGUAGCCGACUGAGAAAUCUCGAAUUCUUAAAAACGGUAGCCUCUCCAAAAUCAAGUCCCCUUCACUUGAAGAAAAUAGUCGUGUUUAUAGGGUUUUGAACGAAAGUUUUGGACCGGAUUUUGAGUUGGGAUUUCAAAAUCGAGUCAAAGAGAGGUUUCAAAAAGCAAAUCACAUCCUUGUGUUGAUAUUCUAUGCAGCGAUAGCAGGUUUUUCUGAAAAGCAAUUUUGGCUUUAUUUGUUGAACGAUCAUUAAAGAUACGUUAAUGAUAUAGAGGGCAAAACAUAUGAAAUGCUGAGACGGAAAGGGAAGGAAAAUUUCACCAAAAUAAAGUGACAUAUCUCUGUGAAUACUUAAAAUUUGACGGAGCUUUGUCGAAAUGGGAGGAAGAAGAUAACUAGAAGGUCAGGAAAAAUCCAAUGUCAUUAGGCACUAAGCGACAUCAUUUUAGUACGAGUUCUAGAGGUUCUACUGUUUGGGCUGAAG